rnacentral:tRNA from 1 species
GGGCCCGUAGCUCAGUUCGGUAGAGCAUCUGGCUUUUAACCAGGUGGUCGUGGGUUCGAUUCCCACUGGGCCCG